UAACCUGGUUGAUCCUGCCAGUAGUCAUAUGCUUCGUUCAAGGGCUAAGCCAUGCAUGUCUCAGAGUACACGGGUCUUCCCACAGUGGGUCUGUGAAUGGCUCCUUACAUCAGCAGUCAUCUCCAUGAUAGAGUGUGGAUGGCACCACUCCUGCCAGGUGCCCGCUUGGACAUCCUCCAAAACCUGGUGGCUAAUACACGAUCGCAGAGCUCCGCCGUGUGCACGUUUGCCUGAGCUUUCCAUGGCCCACCUGACGGUGGUGGAUUGCACCCAGCCGCUGARAAGACCAGCGCCUGUGAAAAGGGCAGUGUGUGCAAGGCUGACUCAGGCUGGUCCCCACUGGGACAGUUGCGCUGGCAGAGAGUUUGGUGGCCUUGUGCCACACAGCAUUGCUUGAUCACACGAACUUCUGACCUAUCASCCUUGACUGUGGUGCAGUGGACCACAGUGGCAGUCACGGGUAACGGAGAAUCAGGGUUCGAUUCCGGAGAGGGAGCCUGAGAGACGGCUACCACUACCAAGGUGGGCAGCAGGCACGCAAAUUGCCCAAUGCUGAGACACUUCUGGUGAGGCAGCGACGAACUGCAGCAACUCUGCCUGUCUCUUUGACUGGCAGAGCUUGGAAUGGAUGCAAUCCAAACACAGUGAUGAGUAUCAACUGGAGGGCAAGUCUGGUGCCAGCAGCUGCGGUAAUUCCAGCUCCAAGGGCGUAUACUGACAUUGCUGCUGUUAAAACACUUGUAGUCGGACGCAGGGUGCAGGUCUGGUGAGUGGCUGGUGUGGAUCUCUGGGUGGACAGCUCUGUGCUGCUCACCACCAGGUGCAAGCCUGUGUGGGGCACACAUCUGGCCAAUCCGGACCUCUGUGCUGGACAAAACCCUUGCCAGUAUGUUCCUGCACCCGUCUUCUCAUCGAUGGUGCGAUGGCUCCUGCUCCAAGUCCCCUUCAGUGGGGAUCGAUGCGGUUGUACACCCAAUGCUUGUGUGUCUGGCAACUGGAGGGCACAGUUUUCCUGGUGCACUGUGCAGCUUGACCUCCUGCCCACCACCGGAGUCCACCAUCCUCUGUCACCGUGGAGAACUCAGUGUGCUCAAUGCAUCCAAUUUGGCUGGAUGAUCGUCCAUGGAAUGUCAAAGCAUCGACCAGAUGUGGCCAAUCAGAGUUGUGCUGGCCUUGGUGCUCAUCCUGGGGAACCUGGUGCCCCGACUGGGCAGCUGUCACAAGUGCCUGACCCCUCACCUGUCUGGCCUGCUCGUCAGAGUGGGUACUCGGGGGUGUGGGGGGGCCUUGGUGAUGGGCUGUUCCAGGUCAGGUACCGAUCGGCCUUGAUGGGACUGCUCGGGGUGAAGGAUACUGCAGCGCCAGAGGUGAAAUUCUUAGACCGCUGCAAGAUCAACUGCAGCGAAGGCGCUCUGCAAGUGCAUGUUCGUCGAUCAAGAAUGAGAGUGUGGGGAGCGAAGAUGAUCAGACACCGUCGUAGUCCACGACUGUCAACCAUGCCAGCUCGGUGCCGAUGGUGCAAGUGCACAGACAUCACCAGCGCCAAUCCCCUUGCCUCGAGAAAUCCACAAGCCUGUGGGUUCAGGGGGGAGUACUGUCGCAAGGCUGAAACUUAAAGGAAUUGACGGAAUGGCACCACAAGGCGUGGAGUAUGCGGCUUAAUUUGACUCAACACGGGGAAUGUUACCAGGUCAGGACACUGCUGGGAUGGACAGAUUGAGAGCUCUUUCUUGAUCCUCUGGAUGGUGGUGCAUGGCCGCUCCUGAUUGGUGGAGUGAUUUGUCUGGUUGAUUCCGAUAACGAGUGAGAUCUCUGCCUCCCAAUAGCCCCAGGCUCGCAUCUGUAGGGCUCGGCAGUGGUUUGGAUCCCCACCCUGUCCAGGGUGCAAGCUCUGGUUCAGGUCUGGGGCCCUCCACUCCACAGGCUGCCCGAGAGCCAUGGGACAAGCUUCUCUGAGGUGCUGCGGACGCCACCAAGUCCACGCAUGCUAGAGCCAACAGCAGGUCUGUGAUGCUCCCAGAUGUCCUGGGCCGCACGCGCACUACAAUGGUCCGGUGAAUGUGCUGAGCCACCCGCCUUGGCGGGACCUGCCCGGAAGUGGGUGGGAAACCCCAAGAGCCCGAGUUGCCGUGCUGGGGAUAGAUGAUUGCAACUGUCUGCCUUGAACGAGGAAUGCCUAGUAGGCGCAGGUCAUCAGCCUGCACCGAUUGUGUCCCUGCCAUUUGUACACACCGCCCGUCGUUGCUACCGAUGGUAGCUGGAUAGAGCCAUCAGGAGGCUACUGCCUCAUCCAGUGGGGUCAGUGCUGUGGCUCCUCUUCGGAGGUCCUGCGGCCUGUCUCUGCUGGGAGGUUGGGGCCAAAAUCGGGCAAUGUCCUGCUGCUAGAGGAAGCAAAAGUCGUAACAAGGUUGCUGUAGGUGAACCUGCAGAAGGAUCAA
rnacentral:rRNA from 1 species